rnacentral:rRNA from 1 species
UGAAGCCGGAAUUGCUAGUAAUGGCAGGUCAGCAUACUGCCGUGAAUACGUUCCCGGGCCUUGUACACACCGCCCGUCACACCAUGAGAGUUGGGAAUACCCGAAGCCUGUGAGCUAACUAUAUGAGGCAGCAGUCGAAGGUAGAAUCAAUGAUUGGGGUGAAGUCGUAACAAGGUACC